UACGUAGGGGGCAAGCGUUGUCCGGAAUCAUUGGGCGUAAAGCGCGUGUAGGCGGCCAGAAAAGUCCGCUGUGAAAACUCGAGGCUCAACUUCGAGCUGUCGGUGGAAACUUUCUGGCUAGAGUCCGGAAGAGGAGAAUGGAAUUCCUGGUGUAGCGGUGAAAUGCGCAGAUAUCAGGAGGAACACCGGUGGCGAAGGCGGUCUCUGGGCCUUACCUGACGCUGAGGAGCGAAAGCGUGGGGAGCGAACAGG
rnacentral:rRNA from 1 species